GACGUAGGAGGCGAGCGUUAAUCGGAAUUACUGGGCGUAAAGCGUGCGUAGGCGGUUCGUUAAGUGCGUCGUGAAAGCCCCGGGCUCAACCUGGGAAUGGCGAUGGAAACUGGCGGGCUGGAGUAUGGCAGAGGGGGGUGGAAUUCCGCGUGUAGCAGUGAAAUGCGUAGAGAUGCGGAGGAACACCGAUGGCGAAGGCAGCCCCCUGGGCCAAUACUGACGCUCAGGCACGAAAGCGUGGGGAGCAAACAGG
rnacentral:rRNA from 1 species